rnacentral:rRNA from 1 species
CCUACGGGAGGCAGCAGUGAGGAAUAUUGGUCAAUGGGCGGGAGCCUGAACCAGCCAAGUCGCGUGAGGGAAGACGGUCCUAUGGAUUGUAAACCUCUUUAGGCGGGGAGCAAUGCCGGGCACGCGUGCCCGGAGGGAGAGUACCCGCAGAAUAAGCAUCGGCUAACUCCGUGCCAGCAGCCGCGGUGAUACGGAGGAUGCGAGCGUUAUCCGGAUUUAUUGGGUUUAAAGGGUGCGUAGGCGGAUUUUUAAGUCAGCGGUAAAAUGUCCGGGCUCAACCCGGGCCGGCCGUUGAAACUGGGGAGCUUGAGUGGGCGAGAAGUAUGCGGAAUGCGUGGUGUAGCGGUGAAAUGCAUAGAUAUCACGCAGAACUCCGAUUGCGAAGGCAGCAUACCGGCGCCCGACUGACGCUGAGGCACGAAAGCGUGGGGAUCGAACAGGAUUAGAUACCCCAGAGUC